GUAUAAACGCAGAGUAAAUAAAGUCAAAGUUAGCUGCACAUUACAGUUCUCAAGUAAUCUUUACAUAGAUCCCGAAUAAGACAAUUUUUCCCAGAUAAUGAAAAUUGUCUUUAGCUAUAUUGUAUUUCAUCCUGUCAUUCACGUGGAAUAUUUGACAAUUAAGAGAGUGCUGUUUUGAAAUAGCAUAAGAAAACUAUAGAGAAAUAAAUAGAAAUGUAU